GGACGGUUCAGCCGCGAGAGAGGCGCACCGCACCGCACAGCGCGCGCAUUCCCGGCAACAGGGAGGAGCGUCAUGACCGCACGUACAGAGCACGCGCAGAGAGGAAGAGGAGAGGAGAACCUUCAGAAUGACACUUCAUGAAGAGCCAUCAUUCAUCUAUAGCCAACAGAACCACAUGGGCUCAGGAUUAUUAUGGCAAACCUUUGUCAAGACCCGACAAUAUGGAGUUACAGACGCGAGCGCCAAGUCGAACCGCGCUGUGCCAAAAGGAUGGUUUAUGUUUACUGUGUCCAGAAGCAUCGUCACUGUCUCUGGGCUCGGGGGCGUCUGGGAUGGACCAUUACUCAGUGGAGACGUGGACCGGUCUGUAUGCCAGGUCUCCUUUGGGUGAAAUGUCUGGACCAAAGAUGAAAAGAACCAUUCAGACUGUUACCAACAACAAGUCUGCAAUGCAGGGUCUGUGAUGGUCAGUGCAAAGAGUAAACAUUAUGUACAUAAAGAGCCAGCGCUACUUUUGCGUCAGUUCCCAAAUAAAAUUUUCUCUAUAUCU